rnacentral:lncRNA from 1 species
AGGGGCUGUACCGAUGCCUGACAUUGCUGAGACAUAAAGUUUAAAAGGGUGAAGUAAUGUAAAUUUUCUAAAUUUUGAUACAAUAUUGAAUGGUAAAUUCAUCACAUAUUCUACUAUAAAUUAGUUUUUUUUUAAGCAAUAUAAAUUAGCUUAUUUAUUCAACAAAUCUUUGAAUAUUAAUUAUGGCCACGCCAGAAAAGUCUAUACCAGAAAGUAGAGUGAAUAAUUCUGAGAUCUCAAACUAAGAUGAUUAACAAAUAAUCAACUUGAACAAUUAUUAAUGUUGCUUGCAGGUUUAUUCAUUUAAUUAAAACUGUAGCACCUGAUGCAGAAAACUAUGCAGAAGGUAUGUAUGUAUGGCUCGCUAAGCGAUCAUUUCUGUUAUGACAAGCAAGGUGACUGAUGUUGCUUUAAGCGCGAGCCAUUUUGGUCGAAAGUUUAUGAUGUGAACGUGACUGAUGCUUUCUUUUCUUCUACAUUACAUUAGACUUUCACUUAUUCUGAAUUCAAAAGUCAUCUGCAGCUUCAUGAAACUUUAUUAUCAAUUUAUGUAAUUCUGUUAUUACUUUUUGUUGUUGUGCCGAUUUGAAAACUCGAUGAGAUUUUCUGUCAUCAUAGAGAUAAAUAACAGAGCAUCGUAUUUGUUUGAGUGAUUUCCAUUUGUUGAAUGAAUUUUGAGUUCUAAUAUUAUAUUUGGAAA